CUACGGGGCGCAGCAGUGGGGAAUAUUGGGCAAUGGGCGCAAGCCUGACCCAGCAACGCCGCGUGAGGGAAGAAGGUUUUCGGAUUGUAAACCUCUGUCCUUGGGGACGAAGAAGUGACGGUACCCAAGGAGGAAGCUCCGGCUAACUACGUGCCAGCAGCCGCGGUAAUACGUAGGGAGCGAGCGUUGUCCGGAAUUACUGGGCGUAAAGGGUGCGUAGGCGGCAUAUUAAGUCAGGUGUGAAAUACUCGGGCUCAACCCGAGGGCUGCACUUGAAACUGGUAAGCUUGAGUGUGAGAGAGGAAAGUGGAAUUCCUAGUGUAGCGGUGAAAUGCGUAGAUAUUAGGAGGAACACCAGUGGCGAAGGCGACUUUCUGGCUCAUAACUGACGCUGAGGCACGAAAGCGUGGGGAGCAAACAGGAUUAGAUACCCGGGUAGUC
rnacentral:rRNA from 1 species